rnacentral:rRNA from 1 species
AGAGGCGUUUUCCGUGCCGGACCGUGUCCAAGUUCCUUGGAACAGGAUAUCGAAGAGGGUGACAAUCCCGUACUUGACACGACGACCGGUGCUCUGUGAUACGUCUUCUACGAGUCGAGUUGUUUGGGAAUGCAGCUCAAAAUGGGUGGUGAGUUCCAUCUAAAGCUAAAUAUUGGCGAGAGACCGAUAGCGAACAAGUACCGUGAGGGAAAGAUGAAAAGCACUUUGGAAAGAGAGUUAAACAGUACGUGAAAUUGUUGAAAGGGAAACGAUUGAAGUCAGUCGUGACCGAGAGGCUCAGCCGGUUCUGCCGGUGUAUUCCCCUCGGUCGGGUCAACAUCAGUUUUGUCCGGUGGAUAAGGGCGGUAGGAAGGUGGCACCCUCGGGUGUGUUAUAGCCUGCCGUCGCAUACAUCGGGUGAGACUGAGGAACGCAGCUCGCCUUUAUGGCCGGGGUUCGCCCACGUCCGAGCUUAGGAUGUUGACAUAAUGGCUUUAAACGAC